rnacentral:rRNA from 1 species
UACGGAGGAUGCGAGCGUUAUCCGGAUUUAUUGGGUUUAAAGGGUGCGUAGGCGGCCUGCCAAGUCAGCGGUAAAAUUGCGGGGCUCAACCCCGUACAGCCGUUGAAACUGCCGGGCUCGAGUGGGCGAGAAGUAUGCGGAAUGCGUGGUGUAGCGGUGAAGUGCAUAGAUAUCACGCAGAACCCCGAUUGCGAAGGCAGCAUACCGGCGCCCGACUGACGCUGAGGCACGAAAGUGCGGGGAUCAAACAGG